rnacentral:rRNA from 1 species
AUCAACGCUGGCGGCGUGCCUAACACAUGCAAGUCGAGCGAGAAAAGGGGAGCAAUCCCCUGAGUACAGCGGCGCACGGGUGAGUAACACGUGGGUAAUCUGCCCUAGAGUGGGGAAUAACACCGGGAAACCGGUGCUAAUACCGCAUACGUUGCGAGAUCUGCGGAUUUCGUAAUAAAAGGAGCAAUUCGCUCUAGGAGGAGCCCGCGGCUGAUUAGCUAGUUGGUGAGGUAAUGGCUCACCAAGGCUACGAUCAGUAUCCGGUCUGAGAGGACGGUCGGACACACUGGAACUGAGACACGGUCCAGACUCCUACGGGAGGCAGCAGUGGGGAAUUUUUGGCAAUGGGGGAAACCCUGACCAAGCAACGCCGCGUGGAUGAUGAAGUCUCUUGGGACGUAAAAUCCUUUCGACAGGGAAGAAACCCGCAAGGGUUGACGGUACCUGUAGAAGAAGCCCCGGCUAACUCCGU